ACGAACGCUGGCGGCGUGCCUAAUACAUGCAAGUCGAACGCUUCUUUUUCCACCGGAGCUUGCUCCACCGGAAAAAGAGGAGUGGCGAACGGGUGAGUAACACGUGGGUAACCUGCCCAUCAGAAGGGGAUAACACUUGGAAACAGGUGCUAAUACCGUAUAACAAUCGAAACCGCAUGGUUUUGAUUUGAAAGGCGCUUUCGGGUGUCGCUGAUGGAUGGACCCGCGGUGCAUUAGCUAGUUGGUGAGGUAACGGCUCACCAAGGCGACGAUGCAUAGCCGACCUGAGAGGGUGAUCGGCCACAUUGGGACUGAGACACGGCCCAAACUCCUACGGGAGGCAGCAGUAGGGAAUCUUCGGCAAUGGACGAAAGUCUGACCGAGCAACGCCGCGUGAGUGAAGAAGGUUUUCGGAUCGUAAAACUCUGUUGUUAGAGAAGAACAAGGAUGAGAGUAACUGUUCAUCCCUUGACGGUAUCUAACCAGAAAGCCACGGCUAACUACGUGCCAGCAGCCGCGGUAAUACGUAGGUGGCAAGCGUUGUCCGGAUUUAUUGGGCGUAAAGCGAGCGCAGGCGGUUUCUUAAGUCUGAUGUGAAAGCCCCCGGCUCAACCGGGGAGGGUCAUUGGAAACUGGGAGACUUGAGUGCAGAAGAGGAGAGUGGAAUUCCAUGUGUAGCGGUGAAAUGCGUAGAUAUAUGGAGGAACACCAGUGGCGAAGGCGGCUCUCUGGUCUGUAACUGACGCUGAGGCUCGAAAGCGGGGUGAGCAAACAGGAUUAGAUACCCUGGUAGUCCACACCGUAAACGAUGAUUACUAGGUGUUGGAGGAUUGACCCCUUCAGUGCCGCAGCUAACACAAUAAGUAAUCCACCUGGGGAGUACGACCGCAAGGUUGAAACUCAAAGGAAUUGACGGGGGCCCGCACAAGCGGUGGAGCAUGUGGUUUAAUUCGAAGCAACGCGAAGAACCUUACCAGGUCUUGACAUCCUUUGACCACUCUAGAGAUAGAGCUUCCCCUUCGGGGGCAAAGUGACAGGUGGUGCAUGGUUGUCGUCAGCUCGUGUCGUGAGAUGUUGGGUUAAGUCCCGCAACGAGCGCAACCCUUAUUGUUAGUUGCCAUCAUUUAGUUGGGCACUCUAGCAAGACUGCCGGUGACAAACCGGAGGAAGGUGGGGAUGACGUCAAAUCAUCAUGCCCCUUAUGACCUGGGCUACACACGUGCUACAAUGGGAAGUACAACGAGUCGCAAAGUCGCGAGGCUAAGCUAAUCUCUUAAAGCUUCUCUCAGUUCGGAUUGUAGGCUGCAACUCGCCUACAUGAAGUCGGAAUCGCUAGUAAUCGCGGAUCAGCACGCCGCGGUGAAUACGUUCCCGGGCCUUGUACACACCGCCCGUCACACCACGAGAGUUUGUAACACCCGAAGUCGGUGAGGUAACCUUUUGGAGCCAGCCGCCUAAGGUGGGAUAGAUGAUUGGGGUG
rnacentral:rRNA from 1 species